rnacentral:sRNA from 1 species
AAUUAACCUUUGCGUUAGGGAUUGAAACGGCAUCCUUUUUUUAUUUUUCAUAAAAAAAGAUAUAGUGUAAAGCCCGUUAAAAC